CCUACGGGCGGCUGCAGUGAGGAAUAUUGGUCAAUGGGCGUAAGCCUGAACCAGCCAAGUCGCGUGAGGGAUGAAGGUUCUAUGGAUCGUAAACUUCUUUUAUAAGGGAAUAAAGUGCGGGACUUGUCCCGUUUUGUAUGUACCUUAUGAAUAAGGAUCUGCUAACUCCGUGCCAGCAGCCGCGGUAAUACGGAGGAUCCGAGCGUUAUCCGGAUUUAUUGGGUUUAAAGGGUGCGUAGGCGGCCUUGUAAGUCAGCGGUGAAAGUCUGUGGAUCAACCAUGGAAUUGCCGUUGAACCUGGGAGGCUUGAGUAUGUUUGAGGCAGGCGGAAGGCGUGGGGGAGCGGUGAAAUGCUUAGA
rnacentral:rRNA from 1 species